UACGUAGGGUGCAAGCGUUGUCCGGAAUUAUUGGGCGUAAAGAGCUCGUAGGCGGUUUGUCGCGUCGAAUGUGAAAACCCGGGGCUCAACCCCGGGCCUGCAUUCGAUACGGGCAGACUAGAGUUCGGUAGGGGAGUCUGGAAUUCCUGGUGUAGCGGUGAAAUGCGCAGAUAUCAGGAGGAACACCGGUGGCGAAGGCGUGACUCUGGGCCGAUACUGACGCUGAGGAGCGAAAGCGUGGGGAGCAAACAGG
rnacentral:rRNA from 1 species